GCCUGGCUGGCUCAGUUGGUAGAGCAUGAAACUCUUGAUCUCAGGGCUAUGAGUUCAAGCCCCACGCUGGGUG
rnacentral:tRNA from 1 species